UUGGAACGCGAAGACCCUUCCCAGGUCUUGACAUCCAGUGCAAACGUAAGAGAUUAGGUGUUCCUUUCGGGGACGGAGAGACAGGUGGUGCAGGGCUGUUGUCAGCUCGUGUCGUGAGAUGUGGGGUUAAGUCCCGCARCGAGCGCACCCCUUGUCAUUAGUUCCCAUCAUUAAGUUGGGCACUCUAAUGAGACUGCCGGGGACAACCCGGAGGAAGGUGGGGAUGACGUCAAAUCAUCAUGCCCCUUAUGACCUGGGCUACACACGUGCUACAAUGGCCGGUACAAAGAGAAGCGAACCUGCGAAGGCAAGCGAAUCUCUUAAAGCCGUUCUCAGUUCGGACUGUAGUCUGCAACUCGCCUACACGAAGCUGGAAUCGCUAGUAAUCGCGAUCA
rnacentral:rRNA from 1 species